rnacentral:rRNA from 1 species
UACGAAGGGGGCUAGCGUUGCUCGGAAUUACUGGGCGUAAAGGGCGCGUAGGCGGCGGACAUAGUCAGGCGUGAAAUUCCUGGGCUUAACCUGGGGGCUGCGCUUGAUACGUGUGUGCUAGAGGAUGGAAGAGGCUCGUGGAAUUCCCAGUGUAGAGGUGAAAUUCGUAGAUAUUGGGAAGAACACCGGUGGCGAAGGCGGCGAGCUGGUCCAUUUCUGACGCUGAGGCGCGAUAGCGUGGGGAGCAAAC